GCUAGUGCUGUAGAUGUGUGUGUUACAAGUUCUGUCUCCUGUGCCAGAAAUAAUCCAUUGCCUGAGUGGACCCCUUAAAGCUACCUUGUGGGUUUGUCUCUGUUUCCUGUUGCUCCUGGGUGGACCUGGGACCUGAGUGAUUGCUUUGCCUUGCUCAGUACUGCUGAUAACUCCUGCUGCCAGUACCCUGCUGUGCUCAUCCUCAGCCCCUGGGAUGCAAUUGUUCCUUCCCAGCAGCCCCUUCAUGAUGGAUGGUGGUCGAGGAAGACUGAUGCUGCUGGAGCUAGCAGAGUUAUAGUGCCAUGCAGUCAAAGAACUUGGUGCUCUAGGUAUGUGGCUCUGAUGGGGAUGAGCGGAAAGUUUUGAAUUAAACUCCUGCUCCAUGGAUGAGAUCUGCAUUCUCUGGAGAUUCUUCAGCUGCUGUUGUGCUGAGACAAAGAAGAAACAAUUUCUGUGACUGAAGCAGUUAUGAAAAAGAUAAGGCUGGAAGGACCAACCAGAUUGGGAGCUCCUUUUGUCAUUCAGUUCUGACUGUGAAUAUUGUACAAGCUUAAAUAGAUAAGAAAGUCAAAAGGCAGGAAGAGGAAAUAUGCUCUGAACUUAUGCUCCUCAUAUAUAUAAAUCAAAGCACUUUGUGAAAACUGGCAGCAGUUUCACUGCAUUACUUAUGGAGGAAACUGAAUCAAAACAUGUUUAAGGCAAUGUGUGGAAGAUCGCAAGUGAUCAAAUUACUGCAGUUGUUCCUAUUUUGCAUUUUAAUGAACUGAGCUACCAUGGCCUGGCUGAUGAUCAGUAACUCAUUAAGCUGCACUAAGAAGAUCGUGUGUCAGCAUCCAUCCAUACCCUUAAACCAGUGGUUUUUCAAUUGGGACCCCUUAAUGUCAUCUGCAAGCUUCACAGGGGCUGGCGAGGACUAAUAAGCUGCCCUGAUGGACUGGCAGCUGGGAUGGAUGGGGGGUGCUGGUGCUUGAGAGCAGAGCUCUGGCAGAGCAGGGUGCUGCAGGAAUCUGCUUACUUGGAGCUUUUCUGCAGGGAGCAUGACCUGAACCUUGACUCCUUGGGUUUAUCUGGGCACGAUGAUGCUGCUCAAGCCAGGCUUCUGGCAGGGAAUGGAACCUGCACAACAGACAGCUGAGACAGUUGAACAGAAUGCUUCAAGUGUGCAAAGCUUCAUGCUGAAAGCCUGGGGAAGAAUUUGCACAGGGACCUAUUUGUGCAUAUGAAGCUGGGCAGAGAGCUUGUCUGACAGAAAAAAAAAAAAAAAGAAAAAAACACAUCAAGGAUAGAACAGUCACCAGAAAAUUGAUAGACAUGCCUGGAAAUGCCUUUAACCCUUAUUUACUGUAGGGCUUGUGGUUUGAAAAGCCUGGAGUCUCGUUUUGACUGUUUGGUCCCCACUGAAAUUACAGAGGUGGGGAGAAACCACCCAGCGAUCUGCACGGGCUCUGCCAAACAAGCCCAGAGGAAAGGGGUUCGUUCCUGGGCUUGCUGCGCAAAUUAAAAGCAGGCUUGGAGCUACCGUUUGUGCUCAUUCCUGUGACGACUGCGGUGGGAAAAGGGAAGGAAUGCACCACUGGUGUCCCCAAAGCCCGUGCUUCCAUGGUGCUGCCUUGCUGUAACUCCCAUGGGUGUGGAGUCCUAGUUAUUUUAUCAUGGGGCCCGACUGCAAUUUUUAUGACACCGGAGUAAGGAGGAGCAGCUCACUGGAGAUGAUGGCACUGCAGCCAGGCUUGCAGUUGUAAGCUCUUGACUCCAGGCAUCUCAAGGUGCCACCACCAUGCCAAGCCUCUCCUUGGGCUGUGCUGAGCAGGUGGAGGAGCCCCACGUGUCUGUAUUCGUGCAGAAAAGGACACUGAGGAAUAAGAAGCGUCUUGCACAAGAUUGCACAAUGUGGAGGAGCUGGCAAUAACAUGCAGGUCGCUGGCUUCCCGGCUGUCCUUGAGGCAGGUUGCUCAUGUGUUGUGGAGGGAGUCUGGUCUUGCUUGACACCAAAAUCCACAGGAGGAGGAGAAAAAGUAGGUGAUCUGUCAGUGAGAAGCUCCGCGGGGACAAUCAUUGUCUUGGAAGCUGCCUGGAUUUGAAGGAAGACCUUGUGGCUGAAUAUAUUCCUGUUUCCAAGGAUGUGAGAUCGUCAGCAGGGCUGGUAGUGGGGACCAAAUGUCAGCCUGCUCUGACCCUGAGCAAAAUGCUCUGGGCCUUGCUGCUGUGGUGCUUUGGAGCAGCAAAACAGAGCAUAAACGACUAAUUCCGAAUCCCAAGGACUAACUAGGGUAGGGUGUGGGUGUGUGUAGCCUGUUCCUAACUGGUGAACAGGAGAGAUCCAGGACAAGUGAUGGUUAUCUCCAUGCAAGUUGUCUCCAUGUAUGAUGCUGCUUUGGGGUCCUUCUUGUACCCAGCCCAUGUGAAAUCCAAACCGUUUCUUUCGUAAGCAUCUGGGAACCUUUCUGGUGCCACAGCUGUCUAGAAACUGCUGCGAAGUAGCUGUUUCCUCUCCUUCUGAGACAGAGGAGAGGAAGGAGGCUUGGAGCAAUGCAGCUCCCUCAUGGUGGCCUCCCAGGGUGGGGCAGGUUUUAACAACGUGCCAGAAUAUGUGGCUGUCCUUGGACAUGUUUAAUUUCCCAUCUUCUCGGCACUGGGAGCACUUGAAUUGCCCUUUAGCAGUUGGGCGCAGAAGGGGAAAGAUCAUUAACAUACAAAGGGCUCCUCUUUCAACACCAGCAUUGCGAACUUUCAUGAUUUUAGCUCUUUCAUCACAUUUGUACUGUUGUACUUGUUUUCUUUUUUU